UAGAAAUGCAGCGUAAACUUGGCAACAUUGCAAGCAUUUGUCAAUUCGUCGCCAUUUCGUUCUUUGGUGAGAAUUGUGGUUGUGCGUCUUGGAUAUUUUAAAUUAUAAAAUUCAUAAAUGGAUAUUAAGAAGAUGCAGAAACAGGAACCGCCUAUUUCCGAAAAAGUGAAUAAGGACAAUUCAGCACCGUCAAAUCCUGCUUCCAUUCCAUCUACACCUCAGAAUUCUGUAAAUGGUGGUGCCACUAAUGUUGGGAACAACAGUGGAAGAGGGAAGCGUGGAAGCGGUAGAGGUGGUGUAGGAAGAGGUGGACAAGGAGGAAGAAACAAUCAAGGCAACGGCAAGAAUGGGAAUGGUGCUGGACGAUUUCAGAGGAAUGCCAAUAAUAAUAAUCUUGGCCAAAACCAUACAGAGAAAAAGUGGGAAGACAAUUCCCACGGUAAUGGGCAUCAAAAAUUGUCUGAGGAUCGGCAGUUAUUAGAGAAACUUGCAACAUUAUCCAAUUCAACUGCUGAGCUUCCAAUUAGAUCCUUCACUGAAACCAAAUUUUCAGGUCGCAGCAGGUUAUAUGUCGGAAAUCUAGGCAAUGACAUAGUAGAGCAGGAUUUAAAAGAAUAUUUUUCUGCUUAUGGAGAAAUCGCUGAAGUAUUCCUAAACAAGGAAAAGGGAUUUGCUUUUGUCAGAUUGGACUAUCGUUCGAAUUCCGAAAAGGCUAAGCGCGAAUUGGAUGGCAAAGUUUUGAAAGGCCGCACAUUACGUGUUCGCUCCGCUCCGCAUAGUGCCGCUGUCCGCGUGAAAAACUUGUCUCCCUUCGUCACUAAUGAAUUACUAGAAAAAGCCUUUUCUAUAUUUGGAGAUAUUGAAAGAGCUAUCGUGGUUGCUAAUGAGCGUGGGCAGUCGACGAAUGAAGGUGUAGUCGAGUUCGUUCGUAAGCCAGGUGCCCAAGCAGCAAUUCGUCGCUGCACAGAUGGAUGUUUCUUCCUUACUUCGUCGUUACGACCUGUAGUGGUAGAGCCAAUGGAACAGUUAGACGAUGAGGAUGGAUUCUCAGAGCGUGCAUUUACUAAAAAGACGCCAGAAUUCUCGAAAGAGAGAGAAGCGGGGCCAAGAUUUGCUGAGCCCAACAGCUUUCAAUUCACUUACGGUCAACGUUGGAAACAAUUGCUCGAGCUGUACAAGCAAAAGAUGGAUGCUGUUGAGCGCGAACUGAAAAUUGAAGAAGAUAAGCUUGUUUCUCAGAUGGAGUAUGCUCGGUAUGAACAUGAAACAGAGCUUCUCCGCGAACAACUCAGACAGCGCGAACAGGAUCGGGAGAGGCAAAAACGUGACUGGGAAAUGAAAGAGCGUCAACACGAAGAAUCCCGAUUGCGGGAAGAAGAAACUCUUCGCCGACAACAGGACGAAAUGCAGCACCGAUUGCGUCAACAAGAAGACGAAAUGCGUCGUCGUCAACAAGAGAACACCAUGUUCAUGCAGGAGCAAAAUACAGAAGCGUCUCCCCCAGAUUUCCGUCGACCACUUCAGCCUCCCAUUUUUGAUCGCCCUAUGAUGGGUGGCAACGGACCUCACAAUCUCAUGGAUCUUCAAAUGAUAUUGCUCUCGACCUAAAUUGAAGUCACAAGAAGCAGCGAAAUUAUUCAUUGCAACUACAGUGGAUUCACUGAAGCAGAAAAUCCGCCAGUCCAUUAGCACAAUGGAAACUGGUUUUGGGAACCGACGGCACUCUUCAUUAUUUGUUGAGGUCUUGUCUAUUGCGUGAGCAGAUUCCGCUGGAGGAAAAAUGAACCUAUUGAAUGGAUUCGUCUUUCCGUUGGCGUGAAAGGCGGAUUGCACUGUCUGGAAAGGCUGACUCUGCUCCUGAGCGUUCCCAUUCAUCUCUCCUGGCAUCCUGACUAAAUAGAAAAAAUCCUUCCGCACCAUACGGAGGUAUAGACUGUGUUGGAAGUCGAGGCGCCGGUUUCUCUCCGUCAACUCAACCCAAAAGGACUAAGGGAAAAUCUAAUAGAAGGAAGACAAUGACGAAAGAACAAAGGAGCUUAAAUAAGGACUCCACGGGUAUAGCAAAUACCGAGAAAAAAAAAACAAAGAAGAAUCGAUUGGGCUUAGAUACAUCUCUUCCAGAAUUAUCUUUAUUUAUCCUAGAUGACAAGUUGUGUCGUUGCCUUUCCCUAAAUCAAACUAGAACGUCGUUGUUGGGACGAACGAGCUACAGGAAAAUAGGCAACCUGCAUUGGCUAGACCAAAGUAAUAGAAAACGUGAGCAAAAGAUUAGAAUGAGAACCAGCACCCCCUAGUGUAUAUGCUCCAUUAAGAUAUACGGGACAACUUAUUAUACUGGAGCGCGCGCCUACGCCAUGCCCUUAUUACGAAACCCCCUGUAAUUGUCCAGUAUCGAUUAAUUUUUCAAGCGCUCGUCAUCAUUCUCCGUUUUCUUCGUUCGCGCCUUUGCUAUAAGGUUACAGCAUGCAAUUUGUACCAACCUAUUGUGCUUCUCAAAAUGAAAUAAAGUAAAUCGGCGGCUAAAUCUCACAAA
rnacentral:misc_RNA from 1 species